CCAGGUUCCCACCUUUACUGUCUCUGUCUCUGUGUUUUGCUUUGUGUUGGCAUUUUGUUUGGGGUUGGUUUUUUUCCUUAAGUUCCACAGCACCCGUUCUUCAGCCCCAUCCUGUUGACCUGGUCUCUCGGCAAGUGGCUCCCAAAGUGGGGCGGGCAAACAAGCAGCUAUGAAGAAUGAAGGACCAUGACUACAGUGGGAAAUUUUAUUCAUUGUAAGUGCUGUGGAGUCCUGAGAAGAAGGGAGGAAUUUUGUGUGGCCACACUGAAGAAAUCCUGCAGAUACGUUCACUCUCUCAGGCAGGUUGCUUUCUACUAAAGGAUACCUAUUUAACUGAUUGAUGGAAACCGAUUCUCCAGAAGAAAAUGAGUCAUUUUGUUGCUGGGUUAAGCAUGCUUUGGAUUUCCUGAAGUGCUCUUGGGAUGGCUGGUUUUAACUCCUAUCAGAAAAGAUAUCAAAAAUACCAAAAGGAAGAUACCUACAACCUCUAUAUCAUCUGGGAUUUCCAAGACCCUAAGCAUCCAGAAUGAGGCUUUACUGUAUACCCUGUGAAAAUCACAUGCCCUUUGCAAGAUUUCUGCAGUUCCUGAGAGUCGUCACUCUUGGGAACUCUCUAACACCAAGAAAAGAGCGCCUUCUUCCCAGUGGCAACGUGUAUCCAACAAUGCAGUGGAAGUGUAAAGAACACUCUCCCAGUUCCAGAGCUCCCUGGAUUGCAGUUUAACAUCUCUGUCGUCCCAGUCUUUCUUCCUUCGCUGUUCCAUAGGUCUUUAUCUUGAAGGCAGUCUUCUAUGAACAUUAUACAAGUAAAUCUCUGUUUAAGUCUGUUUCCUGGAAACCUUGCCUAAAAGGGCUGAUGUCAGGGUGUUCAAGGAAGCAGGAACUAUAAUUGGAUCUGGACCAUGAGUUGGUCAUUUGGCAGGAGGACCCCGCUACUGGUGGUAGAUAAAGCACAAUUGACCCCCGGCAUCACUCAUAGAUUUGGUAGAAUUCUCCAGUGAAGCUCUCUGGUCCUGAGUUUUCUUCAUUUGAAGAUUACCACUUGCAUGGAGCAUCUUUUUUCAUACCUUCACUUUCAGCCUACAUGUGUCCUUAAAUCUAAAGUAAGUUUUUUAUAGAGAGUGUUUGGUUGAAUCUUAUUUUUCAUCCAUGCUGCUACUCUAUGUCUUUUGAUUGGGGGGCUUAAUCAAUUUAUAUUUGAAGUAAUUAUUGAUAGCUAAGGACUAACUAUUGACAUUUUGUUUAUUGUUUUAUCUCUGCUUUGUUGUCCUUUUGUUCCUUUCUUCCUCUCUUGAUGUCUUCAUUUGUGAUUCAGUGAUGCUUUUGUAGUGACAUGCUUUGAUUUUCUUUCUCUUUAUUUGUGUACCUACUGUAAUUUUUUUUUUUGUAAUUACCAUAUAAAGGCUUUCUAGACCCAACUCCAAUGUGCCUUUGCAUGUAUGGGUUGGGUGGGUGUUUAUACAUCCACAAGCAAUUAUAUGAAAACACCAAAAAAUCUAUAAUUCAACUCAAUUCUGACACUAUCUACUGCAAGAUUGCAUCAAAUUUCGUAGGUUAUGCACUUAGUCCUAUAAGAGUUCCCCCUCUCCCAUUCCAAUUGAGGUGCUGGUCACAAGUCCAGGUUAUCACCUAUGCUUUGACAACAGGCUAUAGAUUGAAUGUGCCAAUGACCCCUUUCCUUAGGUUUGGUUAAUUUGCUAGAGAGGACACAGAACUUAUAAGAAACAUUUUUUUUUUACUUGAUCAUUUGUUUAUUAUAUAGUGAUAUAACUGAGAAAUGGAGAUAGAGGAGAUGCACAAGAUAUGGGGAAAGAACAAGGAACUUCUACGCACUAUCCAGCUGCAUUGAUGCCUGAUGAUUUGAAGAAAUAGCACCAUUUCCCAAUCCCAGAGAGAAAUUCCAGUUUUGUUCCAAAUGUCCAGGCUUUGCCAAGCCUUCAGAAUUUUCCAUGAGCACCAUUUGUUGAAGACUAUUUUUUCUGCAUUGAAGGAUCUUGCAAGAUUUGUUGGAAUCCAUGGAUCUAAAGUGAAUAUCUUUGAAAAAGAAUUUUGAUGCUGACUAUACAAUUCCUGGUUGAAACUUUUCUUUCAGCAUUUUAAUAUUUUAUCCCACUUUCAUUUGUCCUCUGAUUUCAGUUGAGAAAUAUGUGGUUAACAUUGCCUUUUCUUAGUUCAGUGUGUUUUCAUUAUUGUAAUAUUUUUCCAGAGUUUUAACAAACUUGAUUCUGACCAUUUUUGCUUGAUUUUUCAAUAUUUCUGUAGAAAUAAAUUUGCUUGAAUCUUCCUCCUCUGUCAUUUUUGCUGACAUUUUCAGAUCCUUCUAUGAACUUUUGUCUUUAUUACAUUUGAAAUGUCAAAAGUAGUUUCUAAGCAUAAGCUCUAUUGAACUUUUGAUAAUUAUAUAAUUCAUAGGAAUUUAAACAUCCCUGAUAAAACAAGAUCUCUUUUCCAAUUAUGGGAGAGUUAAUUUACUGUGUCUUGGGAACUGAAAUAAGCUUGCCGUUAGUGAGAGUCACCAUUUAAAAGCGGUAAAUACAGACAUUAAUGGAUUUCCUUAAUACACAUCUUACAGGAUAUUUUGCACAAAAACCAAGAGAUGACUAGUUUCUAUUGCUAUCUGAUGAGUACAAUGAAUGACAUUUAUUACAUAGAGAAUAUUGUAUUCCCAUCAGAAUUCAUAUAUUAAAAUAAUUGUGAUAGUAUUUGAAGGUGGGGCCUUUGUGAGGUGAUUAUGUCAUGAGAGUGGAGUCUUCAUAAUGAAAUUAGUGGCCUUAUAAAUGAGGUCUCAAAGAGCUACCUUGCCUCUUCUGCCAUGUGAGGUUACAGUGAAAAGACAGUCACCAUCCAUGAGCCAGAAAGUGGGUCCUUACCAGGUGCUGAAUCUGCUGGCCACUUAAUCUUGGAUUACCUAGCCUCCUGAGCUGUGAGAAGUACAUUUCUGCUGUUUAUAAGCCACCCAGUGUAUGGUGUUCUUGUCGUAACAGCCCAAACAGACUAAGACAGCAAUUUUUCUUCUGAAAUUACUUUAAUUCCUUAUCAAUAAAACUAACACAGAUUAUGGCUGUCCUACUGGCCUACAAAUCCCUUGCUUCUUGCGCCAAUGUAGUUAAAUUUUUUCUGUAUUCUACAGUCAUUAUGUUUUAUUUAUACAUGGAGGAGUAAUAAUUUAAUGAUUCUAACACUUGUUAUUCAAAUAUUGAUUUCUCUACACAUAUUCUUUAAUUCAUUUUUUAUAUCAUUUAACAAAUGUUGUUUAUAUUUAAUUGUCUUUUUAAAGACAAAUAUUUUGGAUAGUACGGAGAAAGGAAUACCAUUAAAUCCCUCUGAAAGAACUUCUAGAGCCAUUGAGCAGUCCAUGGAAUAUGUCAAACUUUGUCUUGAUUGUAGUUUCAUAAGUUGUGCUGGUGUUUAAUCUUCCUUCCAGGUCAGUCAGAGGUCUAUAGUAUUGCCAGUAGCUUCCAGGGAGUCCAAUCUCAGCUUGGGUCUCAAGAAUAUAGUGACUCAUAUCUAAAGUUCUAGUGCUUUAGAAUAAUGGACAAAAUCACAUACACUGACUCUUGUGUAUAAAAGCAGAAUUAAAAUACCAAUUAAGGUAAAUGUCAACAAAAGCAUUCAAAGCUCAGUAAGAAGGAGGAACCAAGAUACUGAAGAUACAGUAUAGAAUGAGGGUUUCUUCCCCCGAGGAAUUUAUGGUCUAGAAGGAAAUAUUUAUCUAAGGCUUGAUAUAUAUUCUGCCUCAAAGUUUGUCUUAUAUAGUAGAUGAUUUGUCUUGUUUAUCUUGAAUUAGUAGAUUUUGUACGGUACUCAACAAUCUUUAAGAUGGUCCACGCACUUAUGAACUAUUGAUAUGAUUAUGAAUAUUGUUCUUCUCUUUAACGUAUCAGAUGCCUUUUCUUUUUUUUCUUUUUGUGAAGUGUGAAAUGACCUGAGGUUCGCUUUAGUAGUGUUUUCUGUUUGCAGA